rnacentral:lncRNA from 1 species
CCGCCCCUUAGGGAGCGCGGCCUCACUUCGGAGUCCCUCUGCACUGGCCUAGCCAGGCCACGCUAGGCCAUCUGCUCCGCAUCGCGGCCGGCGAAGCGGCGGCUCCGGCGGCCCCGGGGCGGGUGAGGGGGGAGGUCGUGGCCUUGGGGCGGGGCGGUACGGCCGGUGCUGGCGGGCCGGGCCGGGCCGGGCCGUUUGCGGAGCCGGCGUUGUGCGGCUGCCGAGGCUUGUCCGAGCAUCCCCGACACUCUGGCAGCCGGCUCGGCUUCCCUUGGGCGGCCCGCGGCGGUGGUGAGGGCCCGGGGGAGGCUCCGGUGCGGCGAAGGGUCGGUGGGUGGCAGCAGACGGUGCUGAGGUGCUGCCGUGGCUCAGAGGCCCGGGCACCCCGCGGAUGCUGCUCCUCUGAAAGGAGGAAAGCCAUAACGUUCCAAAUUAUGUUUCCCUCUGUGGACUUCUGCGCCCUGGAGCCUGGACUAACCCCACUGCAGGCUUCCAGGGCACCUUCUGCAGGAGGCUGAGCUCCCUCCUCUGAGCUGAAGAAAUGAUGCUGUGCCCUGCAAUACACGCUUUCAAGCAGAAAAGGAAAGGCAGCAUGCUGAAGGGCCAUGCCCUGCUGACUCACACACAUCUCCUGGGCACGCCUCUGUCAGUGCUCAGCUCCUCAGCUUAAGCAGGAAAGUUUAUUCUGGGCCCGUUUCCUUUCUGAGAGCAAUUGCAGUGCUUAUAAGACCAUCAAGCCAAAUGCCCCCUCAUUUUCAAGGACAACACCAUGUUGUACACUUCUGUACAAUAUGCCUGAAGUGGUGUAUGGCAUCCGUGCAGGUCUCAAGGAACAGAUAACCCAUCAAAGAAGCUACAAACCCCUUGUGUUGGUAGAUGGUAUCACAUCGUGUGAGAGCCUGUGGCAAGUCUUUUGCAUCCCUGUAGGUGUAAGCAGGCACCUGGCUGUAUUGCUGCAUUGCAAAGAGCCUUCCUGGUUACAGUGGCUAUGAGAGUUGAGCUUCUGAUCCCUGCAGUGCCAGUUCCCCACAUCCUCAGCCGAAGGGAAGAUACGCCAUUUCCUGUGUGUACCCCGCAGGGUGUGCUUAGCAGGUGCUUAAGCUCCUCACACACUCCCAAAAGCUUUGAAAUUGCAUUUUAUUCCCAUAUGAAAUCACACUGACAGCUCUCUUGUAUCUUUGCUGCACUCUGCAAAGUAUGCAGCAAAGACUUCCUCAACCUCUUCACAUCCCUGAAGCCGAGGCAAGAACAGAGUUUUCUGUUCUUUUUCCAUAUUUGAACUACCUACCAAAAUACUAAUUUCUUUAAAAAUUUUUCUUAGUAAAAUGAUUCUCAGCAUUCAAGAAAUU